CCUGUCAGAGCGAACCCCUGGUUGAAAUUUGUCAAAAGACUGGGCGGUAAACUGAGUGGUAGUCUUAGUAUCUUAAUACACAACUUGCAUACUAUGGGAAUUGUGUUUAUGUUGUUAUGGGAUUAUGGAGUUAUGAUCUAAAAAACUUAUGGAGUUAUGAUCUAAAAAAGAACUAUGGAGUUGUGUGCAAAGAAAGGACAUAAUGUUUCUCAAAUUGCCCUUUAUAUCUCUAUGUUUUGCACUUUAUCAAAGGCGCAAUUAGUUGAGCUCUCAAGCCAAGUUUUUCCAGCAUGAUUUCACUUAUGGUUCCUUGCGGGAAUUUUGAAGAAGGAAAUAUUUCGCCUAUGACAACCUAGAACUUGCUAGCUGUGUAGUCCGUUGUUUACCAUGGUAGGGUGAUAUCCUAUUUUUUUCUAAGUAGAUAUAGUUAUAUUUUGAUAUGGACUAAUACAUCUCAUUUCCUAAAUUGAAUAAUACAUAUCUUCUACAAAAUUAAAUAUCAAGAAACUGGAUGCAAAUUAAUUGUGAAAUAGCACCACUAAUUUAAUGGUGCAAUCUAAAGAAGAACAGUUGAACAAUUGUUUUUUUAUCAAGCAAUUCGGCGACAACAGUCAACAGUGCCAAGGUUCAGUUCAUCAAGGAGAGAACUACUCGUACAAUGUCCAUUGAUACAACACCCUGGCCUGGCAAACAAAAGACGUGCGCUAGUUUAAUUAAGGGGGAGAAACGAAGGUCCAUUUAGUGGUGGCAGUGGUGUGUAAUUUCCCUCAAAUCCAGCUUCUAGAGUUUUCUGGAGCACUCCAGAUUUUAGUUUUUUUAAGCAGCAAUAUCAUGUUUGGCUUGUGUUUUCUGAAGUAAAGCUGAAUUUUAAGGAGCAGUACAAGUAAAAGAUAUAUCAAAGAAACUACAAUCUGCCUCCAUCACAAACAUGUAUAUUUCUCACAAAUCCGAGAUUUUCAAGUUCUGCAGCGAGUAGACUGACACUGAAAUUUCAAUUCAGGUGAACCGAAUCAGAAACCAAAGUCUGGGCCCUGUUAACUACUCCCUCCGUUCCAAAAUAGAUGACCCAACUUUGUACUAACUUUGUACUAAAGUUAAUACAAAGUUGAGUCGUCUAUUUUGGAAUGGAGGGAGUACAAAGCAAGUCGAUGCCAGCAUACAUAUGAGAAACUGAUGGGCCUGUCAGAGCGAACCCCUGGUUGAAAUUUGUCAAAAGACUGGGCGGUAAACUGAGUGGUAGUCUUAGUAUCUUAAUACACAACUUGCAUACUAUGGGAAUUGUGUUUAUGUUGUUAUGGGAUUAUGGAGUUAUGAUCUAAAAAACUUAUGGAGUUAUGAUCUAAAAAAGAACUAUGGAGUUGUGUGCAAAGAAAGGACAUAAUGUUUCUCAAAUUGCCCUUUAUAUCUCUAUGUUUUGCACUUUAUCAAAGGCGCAAUUAGUUGAGCUCUCAAGCCAAGUUUUUCCAGCAUGAUUUCACUUAUGGUUCCUUGCGGGAAUUUUGAAGAAGGAAAUAUUUCGCCUAUGACAACCUAGAACUUGCUAGCUGUGUAGUCCGUUGUUUACCAUGGUAGGGUGAUAUCCUAUUUUUUUCUAAGUAGAUAUAGUUAUAUUUUGAUAUGGACUAAUACAUCUCAUUUCCUAAAUUGAAUAAUACAUAUCUUCUACAAAAUUAAAUAUCAAGAAACUGGAUGCAAAUUAAUUGUGAAAUAGCACCACUAAUUUAAUGGUGCAAUCUAAAGAAGAACAGUUGAACAAUUGUUUUUUUAUCAAGCAAUUCGGCGACAACAGUCAACAGUGCCAAGGUUCAGUUCAUCAAGGAGAGAACUACUCGUACAAUGUCCAUUGAUACAACACCCUGGCCUGGCAAACAAAAGACGUGCGCUAGUUUAAUUAAGGGGGAGAAACGAAGGUCCAUUUAGUGGUGGCAGUGGUGUGUAAUUUCCCUCAAAUCCAGCUUCUAGAGUUUUCUGGAGCACUCCAGAUUUUAGUUUUUUUAAGCAGCAAUAUCAUGUUUGGCUUGUGUUUUCUGAAGUAAAGCUGAAUUUUAAGGAGCAGUACAAGUAAAAGAUAUAUCAAAGAAACUACAAUCUGCCUCCAUCACAAACAUGUAUAUUUCUCACAAAUCCGAGAUUUUCAAGUUCUGCAGCGAGUAGACUGACACUGAAAUUUCAAUUCAGGUGAACCGAAUCAGAAACCAAAGUCUGGGCCCUGUUAACUACUCCCUCCGUUCCAAAAUAGAUGACCCAACUUUGUACUAACUUUGUACUAAAGUUAAUACAAAGUUGAGUCGUCUAUUUUGGAAUGGAGGGAGUACAAAGCAAGUCGAUGCCAGCAUACAUAUGAGAAACUGAUGGGCCUGUCAGAGCGAACCCCUGGUUGAAAUUUGUCAAAAGACUGGGCGGUAAACUGAGUGGUAGUCUUAGUAUCUUAAUACACAACUUGCAUACUAUGGGAAUUGUGUUUAUGUUGUUAUGGGAUUAUGGAGUUAUGAUCUAAAAAACUUAUGGAGUUAUGAUCUAAAAAAGAACUAUGGAGUUGUGUGCAAAGAAAGGACAUAAUGUUUCUCAAAUUGCCCUUUAUAUCUCUAUGUUUUGCACUUUAUCAAAGGCGCAAUUAGUUGAGCUCUCAAGCCAAGUUUUUCCAGCAUGAUUUCACUUAUGGUUCCUUGCGGGAAUUUUGAAGAAGGAAAUAUUUCGCCUAUGACAACCUAGAACUUGCUAGCUGUGUAGUCCGUUGUUUACCAUGGUAGGGUGAUAUCCUAUUUUUUUCUAAGUAGAUAUAGUUAUAUUUUGAUAUGGACUAAUACAUCUCAUUUCCUAAAUUGAAUAAUACAUAUCUUCUACAAAAUUAAAUAUCAAGAAACUGGAUGCAAAUUAAUUGUGAAAUAGCACCACUAAUUUAAUGGUGCAAUCUAAAGAAGAACAGUUGAACAAUUGUUUUUUUAUCAAGCAAUUCGGCGACAACAGUCAACAGUGCCAAGGUUCAGUUCAUCAAGGAGAGAACUACUCGUACAAUGUCCAUUGAUACAACACCCUGGCCUGGCAAACAAAAGACGUGCGCUAGUUUAAUUAAGGGGGAGAAACGAAGGUCCAUUUAGUGGUGGCAGUGGUGUGUAAUUUCCCUCAAAUCCAGCUUCUAGAGUUUUCUGGAGCACUCCAGAUUUUAGUUUUUUUAAGCAGCAAUAUCAUGUUUGGCUUGUGUUUUCUGAAGUAAAGCUGAAUUUUAAGGAGCAGUACAAGUAAAAGAUAUAUCAAAGAAACUACAAUCUGCCUCCAUCACAAACAUGUAUAUUUCUCACAAAUCCGAGAUUUUCAAGUUCUGCAGCGAGUAGACUGACACUGAAAUUUCAAUUCAGGUGAACCGAAUCAGGGACAGGACAUCAUUGUUCAAACUUCAAAGCAUUCUAGUACUGUAUUUCAAAUCCACUUGCUUGAAACCUCACAUAGAAUAAAUAAUUCAAGCAAAGAAACAUAGCAUCGAGUGAACACAGUACAAAUAUACAUGCCAAGACACGCAAACAAGCAGCAGAGUUGUAGCCAUGGUACUCUCUAGUCUCUACUAGUAACAAGCUCCAGUUGUACGAAAACCACAAUACCACAUAAACGGAGAGAUGAAUUUGUCACCGAUCUUACUC